CGCCCUUCCAGAGGGGGACAACAGUUGGAAACGACUGCUAAUACCGCAUACGAUCCAAUCUCGGCAUCGAGACUGGAUGAAAGGUGGCCUCUAUUUAUAAGCUAUCACUGAAGGAGGGGAGUUGCGUCUGAUUAGCUAGUUGGAGGGGUAACGGCCCACCAAGGCGAUGAUCAGUAGCCGGUCUGAGAGGAUGAACGGCCACAUUGGGACUGAGACACGGCCCAG
rnacentral:rRNA from 1 species